CGAGGAGUGGCUCAGUCUGGCUAGAGCACCUGGUUCGGGACCAGGGGGUCGCUGGUUCAAAUCCAGUCUCCCCGACCA
rnacentral:tRNA from 1 species